rnacentral:snRNA from 1 species
GGAUGUGAGGGCGAUCUGGCUGCGACAUCUGCCACCCCAUGGAUCGCCAGGGUUGAUCUGGCUGACUAGGCGGGUGUCCCCCUCCUCCCUCACCGAUCCAUGUGCGUCCCUCCCCGAAGCUGCGCGCUCGGUCGAAGAGAACGACCUUCCCCGCGAGGAGAGGACCGGUCUUCGGUCAAAGGUAUACGAGUAGCUGCGCUCCCCUGCUAGAACCUCCAAACAAGCUCUCAAGGUCCAUUUGUAGGAGAACGUAGGGUAGUCAAGCUUCCAAGAAUCCAGACACAUCCAAAUGAGGAGCUGCACGUGGCAGUCUGCCUUCCUUU